UUUAUGUAUGUGAGUACACUGUGGCUAUCUUCAGACACACCACAAGAGGACAUCGGAUCUCAUUACUGAUGGUUGUGAGCCACCAUGUGGUUGCUGGGAAUUGGACCUCUAGAAGAGCAGUCAGCGCUCUUAACCGCUGAGCCACUUCUCCAGCCCGAUGGGUGACUCCUAAUGUAGGUUCUAGGACUCGAAUUCAGAUCCUCUGCAAGAACAAUACAUACUUCUAGCCACUGAGCUAUCCCUCCAGCCCCAAACUUCAACUCUUUAAUGGCUCUUGAGUGGCAGUUUUUGUAAAUGUUACUCCCCUACCAGUUUUAUCUCUGGACAUUGAAAUUUGACCCUGAGAGUUUUUAAUAACCUUUAAUUAUAGCUAAUUAGUUUAAGUUUAAACUUUUGCCUCCUCGGUCUAGUUCCAUUCUAGAAUAAUCCUUGACAUUAGGACAAACUCAUUAGACCUCUGAAAAUUAUUUUCUUUCCCUUUUCAACCUAUAUUUUACCAAAAAUUCAUUUUGUAUGUUUAAUUUUUAUAUCUUGCUCUUACCUGAUGGCUCCUUUCUUAGCAUUACCAAAUUUAGACAGCAUUCUUUAAUAACACAAUUAUAUUAUAAAUGAAAACUCAAGCCAACUAUGGUGGCCCAAGCCUUUAAUCCCUGUACUCAGGAGGCAGAAGCAGGAGGAUCUCUGUGAGUUACAGGCCAGCCAGAGCUACACAUAAAAUCCUGUCUCAAAAAAAAAAUAUAUAUAUAUAUGUAUAUAUGUAUAUAUAUAUAUAUGUACAUAUAUAUAUAUAUUCUGUGAAUAUAUAUAUAUUUCUGUGAAAUCUCCUGUCCCUCUAGGCUUUAUCUUUUUAUUACAGGUGUUUUCUUUUUUUUCCAACUAUCUUUUUUUAAAGAUUUAUUUAUUAUAUAUAAGUACACUGUAGCUGUCUUCAGACACACCAGAAGAGGGCAUCAGAUCUCAUUACAGAUGGCUGUGAGCCACCAUGUGGUUGCUGGGAAUUAAACUCGGGACCUCUGGAAGAGCAGUCAGUGCUCUUAACCUCUGAGCCAUCUCUCCAGCCCAUAACAGUUGUUUUUGAUAGAAAUUUUUCUUCUGCUUGGAGAGGAAAAGGGAAGAAGCAGCAGGUUAGACCCUAUUGCUGAGGAUACCACAUGUUCAGGGUGGUGACCUCAAGUCAGAACUGAACUGGAAGCGCUCUCCCUCCCUGUUGGUUAGCUCAUUAAGGAGAUAAGACUUUUUUUUUUUUCAAUGCAUUUUGAUAUGUUUUAACUGACGUGUAAUAGUUGUUUUUAUUUUUGAGGCAUGUUUAGCAUUUUAUUUGGUUUUAUUUGGUUUGCUUUUGAAACAAACUCUCAUGUAGCCCAGGCUAGUCUCAAACACACAUUCUAGCAGAGAGAGGCUGCUGACUCUGAACUCCUCCAUCCCCCACCCCCAUGCCCCACCUCCCACCCCACUCCCCACCCCCGUGCAGAGUUGAAAGGCAUACAACACACUUGACAUAGAAAUCUUGUUUUUUUGUUAUGCCGUUUCUUGUAAUCACGCUGUUCUCACCCAAGAGAAGGAGACCAGGACGAGUUUUUUUAUGAAUUUGACAUUUUUUUUCUUUCUUUCUUUUUUUUUUUUCUUUUCUUUUUUUUCCGGAGCUGGGGAUCAAACCCAGGGCCUUACGCUUGCUAGGCAAGCACUCUACCACUGAGCUAAAUCCCCAACCCCCUGAAUUUGACAUUUUUAUUGAUCCACAGACCCGGCUGAGGAUUACACACUCCUGUGACUACAUGUUUAAAGAAGUGGCCCCUAGCUGAGUGAGCAGGGGCUUAUAAAGGUAGCAACCACAAGUUUGGUAGGUCCCGUUGACGUAGCUGUGAUGGCUGUUAGCAAGCAUGACGGGAUAUAAGAUUGAGACACAGCUGUGUAACCACGUUGUCCUAUCACUGAUCAGGAAGCCUUGAAGUUGCAGAAACAGCGAUCGUCUGAGUGAGUUAUGGAACCCGUAAAGGGCUGUACAUACCUGAGAGUCAGGCUGCCCUCAAAUUUAGUCUGAGGUCAGGUAGGAUUGAGCAAAUGGGUUUUUCUUAGUUUAUAUCCACAGCCCUUGAAAUUUUUACUUUUAUUUUUUUAAUUCACUUUACAUCCGGAUCACAGCCCACCCUCCCUCCUCUUCUUCUUCCUGUCCCACCCUUACAAGUCCCUCCCCCUAUUACCGCUUAGCCAUUGAAGUUUUGACUUCAAGGCUGAGAACUGAUAUCUUGGCAUAAUCCCCUGAUCGAUAGCUUCCUGCCCCCCCCCCAAAAAAAAGAAAAGAAAAAAGACUACACUUCCCAGCUACCUUUGCGGGCAAGCAACGUAACUCCCUUUCAGAGAGAGAGAGAGAGAGAGAGAGAGAGAGAGAGAGAGAGAGAGAGAGAGAGAGAGAGAGAGAGAGAGAGAGAGAGAGAGAGAUCCUCUCCUAUACAAAGUCACAGACAUCUUUUCCUGCAGGAGCUCUCUCAUCCGCCCACGAGGAUGGGACUAUGCCCCUUUGCCAUGACUAAGAGGGCUCCCGUCUCUUCAGGGACCCUUAGCCGGGAGCAGCAGCCUGGCUCUCCUAACGUCCCCACAGUCGGCCCCCAUGGAGACACGCAGAGCUCAGCCAAGGCGAGAUCGCCAGCUACAGAUGAAGGAAGAGCUGAAAAGCCAAGGUGAGGCUACGACAGUGGUCCAGCAGGACCAUCGCAAACCUAGUCACUCUCUGCACCUUCUCUGACUUCUCAUGGGCUGACCACAUUAAUUUUGGCUUCCCUUAUGAAUGCGAGCUGGCUUCCAGAAGUUCCAUGGUUAUAAUCUUCCUCCAAGAACAUCAGUAGCUUCGUGUAUUUUCCUUUGUUUCCCAACAAGAGCCAGACAGAUCUUUCAAAGAUGCAAAAUCACUCACGGAACUCUGAACUCCCAAGUACCCCUCUGUGAGUCGGUCCCUAAAUGCCCUAGGAAUGAAAUGCAAGCCCCACCCCCACACACACCCCAGUGCUUUCCAAACCAACAAUUCCUCCAGCGUGCUUUAGAAGUUCCCGCCGGCUGGUCUUUCCUCUCCUCCCUACCCUCCUGGCUUUUCUUGAGUUGGAAACUCAAGAUGGAGAGACGGAAUGUGUGACUUUGGGACAUCAGCAAAAAUGCCGCUGGUAGAUCACUGCGAUUGCCUCUGCGGCUAACAGAAGUGAGCUGCUCUGAGGCAGGAGACCGGACAGGAGGGAGCGGCGGGAGUGGGGAUGGGGGGCACCUAACAGAAACCCCCCAUACAGGUUCAGCGGCAGCUUUUGCAUGCUGGUAAGAAAGCCCAACAAAUGUGGGCAUGGCACCCUCUGGUGGAAAAAGAAGAGGACUGAGGGAACCCCGUGCAUCCUGACUCCCCUCACUGAAAUCCCGGAGGUCAAAAUUAAUAAUGGUCCCAGAAUUCUGAAACUUCCAGGCAACCAGAGUAAUUGUGUGAAAUGUAACGUGUUUCUUUUGUUAGUAGUCCCUGUGGGUUUUUUUUUUUAUUUACAUCUCUUCUUAUCCACUAAGAUCUGUAAAGAUAAAAUCCUCUCUUGUUC